rnacentral:rRNA from 1 species
AUUGAACGCUGGCGGCAGGCCUAACACAUGCAAGUCGAGCGGAUGAAGGGAGCUUGCUCCUGGAUUCAGCGGCGGACGGGUGAGUAAUGCCUAGGAAUCUGCCUGGUAGUGGGGGAUAACGUCCGGAAACGGGCGCUAAUACCGCAUACGUCCUGAGGGAGAAAGUGGGGGAUCUUCGGACCUCACGCUAUCAGAUGAGCCUAGGUCGGAUUAGCUAGUUGGUGGGGUAAAGGCCUACCAAGGCGACGAUCCGUAACUGGUCUGAGAGGAUGAUCAGUCACCCUGGAAAUGGGAAACGGUCCAGACUCCUACGGGAGGCAGCCGUGGGGAAUAUUGGACAAAGGGCGGAAGCCUGAUCCAGCCAUGCCGCGUGGGUGAAGAAGGUCUUCGGAUUGUAAAGCACUUUAAGUUGGGAGGAAGGGCAGUAAGUUAAUACCUUGCUGUUUUGACGUUACCAACAGAAUAAGCACCGGCUAACUUCGUG